rnacentral:rRNA from 1 species
AUACGUAGGGUGCAAGCGUUAAUCGGAAUUACUGGGCGUAAAGCGUGCGCAGGCGGUUUUGUAAGACAGUGGUGAAAUCCCCGGGCUCAACCUGGGAACUGCCAUUGUGACUGCAAGGCUUGAGUGCGGCAGAGGGGGAUGGAAUUCCGCGUGUAGCAGUGGAAUGCGUAGAUAUGCGGAGGAACACUGAUGGCGAAGGCAAUCCCCUGGACCUGUACUGACGCUCAUGCACGAAAGCGUGGGGAGCAAACAGGAUUAGAUACCCGGGUAGUCCUCGCCCUAAACGAUGUCAACUGGUUGUUGGGUCUUCACUGACUCAGUAACGAAGCUAACGCGUGAAGUUGACCGCCUGGGGAGUACGGCCGCAAGGUUGAAACUCAAAUGAAUUGACGGGG